rnacentral:rRNA from 1 species
GACGAACGCUGGCGGCGUGCUUAACACAUGCAAGUCGAACGGAAAGGCCCUGCUUUUGUGGGGUGCUCGAGUGGCGAACGGGUGAGUAACACGUGAGUAACCUGCCCUUGACUUUGGGAUAACUUCAGGAAACUGGGGCUCAUACCGGAUAGGAGCUCCUGCUGCAUGGUGGGGGUUGGAAAGUUUCGGCGGUUGGGGAUGGACUCGCGGGUUAUCAGCUUGUUGGUGGGGUAGUGGCUUACCAAGGCUUUGACGGGUAGCCGGCCUGAGAGGGUGACCGGCCACAUUGGGACUGAGAUACGGCCCAGACUCCUACGGGAGGCAGCAGUGGAGAAUAUUGCACAAUGGGCGGAAGCCUGAUGCAGCAACGCCGCGUGCGGGAUGACGGCCUUCGGGUUGUAAACCGCUUUCGCCUGUGACGAAGCGUGAGUGACGGUAAUGGGUAAAGAAGCACCGGCUAACUACGUG